CCAUGCAGAAGGGUUAAUGAAAAAAUUACUGCUGCAGGCUGCAGUUAUCUGGUAAGCCCACCAAGUGUCAGUAAUUACUCUCCUAGGAAGAAUCAGAGAAACAAAAUUGUGCUAUUACGAGCCAAUAAGCAAGAACUGUGUUUUAGGAAACAUUCAAAUGAAUAUGAUUUCCCACUGAGUUAUGGUUUUGCCAGAUUGCUUUGUGGCUUCCAGCGUGCCUCAGACAACUUGACUGAAACGGAUACCCCUGGGGGUUCAUGGCUUGGCCUCUGAUAUAACCUGCUGGGGCAAAACCCCAGCCUGAAUUGGAAUUGAACUUUUUAAAAAGUAACCAAAUAGAAAAUAUAAAAUUGUAAAACAAUGAUAUGAGGAGAUUCCAAAACCAAAAGGAAACUUACCUGGAACUAAUGUCAGUUACAAAGUCGGUUACAGCGGACAAAAUCAGUAGGAAGAACCACAGCAACUUUUAAAUGCCAUUUGGGGAAAGUGCCUAUGGGUUUAGGGCUAUAAUUGAAGCUACCCCACUACCACUUACCAAAUUACCAAAUUCGAUGAACAUUCCUGUUCUCUGAGUUGCCUUUUCUCCAUAAAUGUAUGCUGUUUGAAAUUAAA
ensembl:lncRNA